rnacentral:piRNA from 1 species
GCCAUCACUUUCUGGGUAAUGCAGAUGGA